UACGUAGGUGGCAAGCGUUGUCCGGAUUUACUGGGCGUAAAGAGCGCGCAGGCGGCUGGUCAAGUCCGAUGUGAAAUCUCCCGGCUCAACUGGGAAACUGCAUCGGAAACUGAUCGGCUUGAAGGUGGGAGAGGGUAGUGGAAUUCCCGGUGUAGUGGUGAAAUGCGUAGAUAUCGGGAGGAACACCAGUGGCGAAGGUGACUACCUGGCCCAUUCUUGACGCUGAGGCGCGAAAGCUAGGGGAGCGAACGGG
rnacentral:rRNA from 1 species